AGGACGAACGCUGGCGGCGUGCUUAACACAUGCAAGUCGAGCGGAAAGGCCCUUCGGGGUACUCGAGCGGCGAACGGGUGAGUAACACGUGAGCAACCUGCCCUUAGCUCCGGGAUAGCUCCGGGAAACCGGAAUUAAUACCGGAUAUCGACCUAGGCCGACAUCGGCUGUGGUGGAAAGUUUUUCGGCUGGGGAUGGACUCGCGGCCUAUCAGCUUGUUGGUGGGGUAAUGGCCUACCAAGGCGACGACGGGUAGCCGGCCUGAGAGGGCGACCGGCCACACUGGGACUGAGACACGGCCCAGACUCCUACGGGAGGCAGCAGUGGGGAAUCUUGCGCAAUGGGCGAAAGCCUGACGCAGCGACGCCGCGUGGGGGAUGAAGGCCUUCGGGUUGUAACCCCUUUCAGCAGGGACGAAGCGAAAGUGACGGUACCUGCAGAAGAAGCGCCGGCUAACUACGUGCCAGCAGCCGC
rnacentral:rRNA from 1 species